rnacentral:rRNA from 1 species
GACGAACGCUGGCGGCGUGCCUAAUACAUGCAAGUCGACCUUAGUGGAGAACGGGUGAGUAACCAGUGGGUAACCUGCACAUAAGACGGGGAUAACACUUGGAAACAGGUGCUAAUACCGUAUACUGCUAGAUGGACCCGCGGUGAAUUAGCGAGUUGGUGAGGUAACGGCUCACCAAGGCCACGAUGCAUAGCCGACCUGAGAGUGUGAACGGCCACAGUGGGACUGAGACACGGCCCAAACUCCGACGGGAGGCAGCAGUAGGGAAGAGUGGACAAUGGGCGAAAGCCUGAUCCAGCCAUGCCGCGUGUGUGAAGAAGGCCUUCGGGUUGUAAAGUACUUUCAGCGGGGAGGCGUUACCCGCAGAAGAAGCACCGGCUAACUCCGUGCCAGCAGCCGCGGUAAUUC